rnacentral:rRNA from 1 species
AGAGUUUGAUCCUGGCUCAGGAUGAACGCUAGCGGCGUGCCUUAUGCAUGCAAGUCGAACGAGCUACCUUCGGGUAGCUAGUGGCGAACGGGUGAGUAACACGUUGGUAACCUACCCUUAAGUGGGGAAUAGCUCCGGGAAACCGGAAUUAAUACCGCAUAUGAUGGUGAGAAUAAAGUCUCAUCAUUAAAGCCUUUGGGCGCUUGGGGAGGGGCCUGCGUCCGAUUAGCUAGUCGGUGGGGUAAUGGCCUACCGAGGCUUUGAUCGGUAGCUGGUCUGAGAGGACGAUCAGCCACAUUGGGACUGAGAUACGGCCCAGACUCCUACGGGAGGCAGCAGCAAGGAAUCUUGGGCAAUGGGCGAAAGCCUGACCCAGCAACGCCGCGUGGGGGAUGAAUGCCUUCGGGUUGUAAACCCCUUUUCUCAGGGAAGAAUAAUGACGGUACCUGAGGAAUAAGCCUCGGCUAACUACGUGCCAGCAGCUGCGGUAAUACGUAGGAGGCAAGCGUUAUCCGGAUUUAUUGGGCGUAAAGAGGGCGUAGGCGGCUUUUCAAGUCGGAUGUGAAAUUUCCCGGCUCAACCGGGACGGGUCAUUCGAUACUGUUGAGCUAGAGGACGGCAGGAGGAGAUGGAAUUCCCGGUGUAGUGGUGAUAUGCGUAGAUAUCGGGAGGAACACCAGAGGCGAAGGCGAUCUCCUAGGCUGUAUCUGACGCUGAGGCCCGAAAGCGUGGGGAGCGAACAGGAUUAGAUACCCUGGUAGUCCACGCCUUAAACGAUGGACACUAGGUAUGGGGGGUAUCGACCCCCUUCGUGCCGAAGCUAACGCUUUAAGUGUCCCGCCUGGGGAGUACGGCCGCAAGGCUAAAACUCAAAGGAAUUGACGGGGGCCCGCACAAGCAGCGGAGCGUGUGGUUUAAUUCGAUGCAACACGAAGAACCUCACCAAGGCUUGACAUGUUGGAAGUAGGAACCCGAAAGGGUGACGACCUGUCAAAUCAGGACCCAUCACAGGUGCUGCAUGGCUGUCGUCAGCUCGUGCCGUGAGGUGUUUGGUUAAGUCCUGCAACGAGCGCAACCCCUGUUGCUAGUUAAAUUCUCUAGCGAGACUGCCCUGCAAAACGGGGAGGAAGGUGGGGAUGACGUCAAGUCAGCAUGGCCCUUAUGCCUUGUGCUACACACACGCUACAAUGGGUGGUACAAUGGGUAGCAACGGAGCAAUCCUGAGCAAAUCCUUUUAAAGCCAUCCUCAGUUCGGAUUGCAGGCUGAAACUCGCCUGCAUGAAGUCGGAGUUGCUAGUAACCGCAGGUCAGCAUACUGCGGUGAAUACGUUCUCGGGCCUUGUACACACCGCCCGUCACGUCAUGAAAGUUGGUAACACCUGAAGUCGGUGGGCUAACCCCGACUUGUCGGGGAGGCAGUCGCCCAAGGUGGGACUGAUGAUUGGGACGAAGUCGUAACAAGGUA